UCUUUGAGCUUCAGGAACAGGAAUGUGACUUGUUAUCUCUGGCUGUUGCAGGUUUACAGCACAGGUUCCCUUGGAUACACAGACAGGCGUCUUCACGGCUCCUACUGCUUUCCCAGGUCGCUACUUUCCUACCCCAGCACAGCAGAAAAUCGGUUUCAUGGAUUUUUCUGUCUCUUGCCACUAUUCCAAGAGAAUGUCUGUGGAAUACAAAACCAGCUUCUGCAGACAACGCGGCAGCUGCCAGGCUUCACCCGCUGUGUGCCGUGGUUGUCAGACCCACCAUGAAGCCAAUCAUUAAUCCUUGGCCAGCCAGUUUUGGCCAGCAGUUUAAAGAGAGCAGGCGAACACUUGUGCAAGAGAAAAACUGCCUCAGCAGCUCAUUACAAACUGAAAAUACAGAACCCAAGUGCCUGCUGAAGGGCCAGGGCUGGUGGAAGCUGCCCUUGGACACCAGCUCUGCCACAACCCAGAUUUCUCUUAAUUCGCACUGGACCCGCCGCAUGAAGCAGCUACCGAAAGCACGUGGUAACAGCAAGAACAUGAUUUUCUUUUCACUCCUCCAUGUGUAAUUCUUCCCCACGUCUGCACCCACCAAAAAUCAUUCUAAAAAAAAGAGAAUUACCAUCCCUCAUCCUUCAUUAAAGAAAUCACUCUAGCGAA